AACCAGACUCCGGAGGCAGCAGUGAGGAAUAUUGGUCAAUGGGCGCGAGCCUGAACCAGCCAAGUCGCGUGAGGGAUGACGGCCCUACGGGUUGUAAACCUCUUUUGCCGGGGAGCAACGGGCGCCACGUGUGGCGCCACUGAGAGUACCCGGAGAAAAAGCAUCGGCUAACUCCGUGCCAGCAGCCGCGGUAAUACGGAGGAUGCGAGCGUUAUCCGGAUUUAUUGGGUUUAAAGGGUGCGCAGGCGGCGUGUCAAGUCAGCGGUAAAAUGUCGGGGCUCAACCCCGGCCGGCCGUUGAAACUGGCGUGCUCGAGUUGGAGAGAAGUAUGCGGAAUUCGUGGUGUAGCGGUGAAAUGCAUAGAUAUCACGAAGAACCCCGAUUGCGAAGGCAGCAUACCGGCUCCACACUGACGCUGAGGCACGAAAGCGUGGGUAUCGAACAGGAUUAGAUACCCUUGUAG
rnacentral:rRNA from 1 species